rnacentral:rRNA from 1 species
GACGAACGCUGGCGGCGUGCUUAACACAUGCAAGUCGAACGGAAAGGCCCUGCUUUUGUGGGGUGCUCGAGUGGCGAACGGGUGAGUAGCACGUGAGUAACCUGCCCUUGACUUUGGGAUAACUUCAGGAAACUGGGGCUAAUACCGGAUAGGAGCUCCUGCUGCAUGGUGGGGGUUGGAACGUUUCGGCGGUUGGGGAUGGACUCGCGGCUUAUCAGCUUGUUGGUGGGGUAGUGGCUUACCAAGGCUUUGACGGGUAGCCGGCCUGAGAGGGUGACCGGCGACAUUGGGACUGAGAUACGGCCCAGACGCCUACGGGAGGCAGCAGUGGGGAAUAUUGCACAAUGGGCGGAAGCCUGAUGCAGCAACGCCGCGUGCGGGAUGACGGCCUUCGGGUUGUAAACCGCUUUCGCCUGUGACGAAGCGUGAGUGACGGUAAUGGGUAAAGAAGCACCGGCUAACUACGUG